rnacentral:rRNA from 1 species
CCACGGGCGGCAGCAGUAGGGAAUCUUCCACAAUGGGCGCAAGCCUGAUGGAGCAACACCGCGUGAGUGAAGAAGGGUUUCGGCUCGUAAAGCUCUGUUGUUGGAGAAGAACGUGCGUGAGAGUAACUGUUCACGCAGUGACGGUAUCCAACCAGAAAGUCACGGCUAACUACGUGCCAGCAGCCGCGGUAAUACGUAGGGGGCAAGCGUUAUCCGGAUGUAUUGGGCGGAAAGCGAGCGCAGGCGGUUGCGUAGUGAUGAUGUGAAAGCCUUGGGCUGAACCGAAGAAGAGCAUCGGAAACCGGUCGACUUGAGUUCGGAAGAGGACAGUGGAACUCCAUGUGUAGCGGUGGAAUGCGUAGAUAUAUGGAAGAACCCCAGUGGCGAAGGCGGCUGUCUGGUCUGCAACUGACGCUGAGGCUCGAAAGCAUGGGUAGCGAACAGGAUUAGAUACCCCUGUAGUC